UCACUUCUGAAUGAAACGCGCCCACUAUCCUAUACAUCUCAUGUGAACCGUAACUAGGCUACUAGCUGGGUGGUUAACCUAGCUAACCUAGCUGGGUUAAUGACUUACAACUGUAACCUCGUUUUUUUUUUACGAUCACUGGAAGAUCUGAGGAGCCCCUUGAAGAGCAGAAGUGCAGAAGAUGGGCUGAAGGUGUCAUAUUUAUACCGACGAUAUGAAAAAUUCCUCUGUUUCCUGGGGGAGACGUUCGAAACUACAGAUGCUUUCGAAGAUGGGGCAAUGAAGAGGAGAUCUUUAUUUUUCACUAAUGACAACAUCACUGCUCGAGUAUGUCGUUAUUCUUGGGACGGAUGCUGUGGAUUUACUUGAGUUACUCACUCAACGUCUUUCGAGGAUAUUCUUUGAGAUUGCGUCGGCAGGAUGAAGAUGGACGGCCGGAUGGAUGGAUAGAUGGACAGCUGACUCAAUCAGCUUCUGUAGAAUCUGACUCCCACUUUUACACAUGUCUUACACAAAUGCGUGCGUUACGAAAAAAACUAAACACGUCAUCGAAGAUGCUGAGUGUGUUGCCUAGUUUAAAACGUUUUCCUUUGAGUCAGGUGGCAUGACCUCAAUCGAUCAUGUCCUCUUGAGAGAUGUGGUUUUUAUAUCUGUUAUAUCUGUAAUUUGACAGACAGUGCUGAAGAGUAAUAAUAUAAUUGAAGUAUGCGUUUUAUUAAUGCCAGCUGCUUUAUGUUAGAUCCUCUUUCUGUGUAUUAAUGAAGUAAAUGACACGUCAUAUGCUGACUUUACACUUUG